rnacentral:rRNA from 1 species
UACGUAGGUGGCAAGCGUUGUCCGGAUUUACUGGGCGUAAAGAGCGCGCAGGCGGUUGAUUAAGUCGAAUGUGAAAGCCCCCGGCUCAACUGGGGAGGGUCAUUCGAUACUGAUCGACUUGAAGGCAGGAGAGAGAAGUGGAAUUCCCGGUGUAGUGGUGAAAUGCGUAGAGAUCCGGAGGAACACCAGUGGCGAAGGCGACACGCUGGGCCGUACCUGACACUGAUGCGCGACAGCAUGGGGAGCAAACAGG